UGCGACUUUGGUGAAUCGAACACCAGGCCUUCAGAUCUUCAGUCUGACGCUCUCCCAACUGAGCUAAAGUCGC
rnacentral:tRNA from 1 species